GCGAGGGUACCAGAGCCUGGUCAAAUGGGCAGGACUUAAGAUCCUGUGGCUUAGGCCUCCGUAGGUUCAAAUCCUACCCCUCGCACCA
rnacentral:tRNA from 1 species